UAGCUAUGGUGUAGGCAAGUGAGAAGUAAAUCCUUAAACCAUUCCCAACACUGGAAAAAAGUUUUCAUCUCCUUUUUGGGAGAAUUUCAUAAUCUCACCCCUGAGAGU